rnacentral:rRNA from 1 species
CAAGGAAUUUUGCGCAAUGGACGAAAGUCUGACGCAGCAACGCCGCGUGGGGGAUGAAGGCCCUCGGGUCGUAAACCCCUUUUGUAAGGGAAGUAACUGACGGUACCUUACGAAUAAGCCACGGCUAACUACGUGCCAGCAGCCGCGGUAAUACGUAGGUGGCAAGCGUUGUCCGGAUUUACUGGGCGUAAAGGGCGCGCAGGCGGCUCAUCAAGUCUGGGGUGAAAUCUCCCGGCUCAACCGGGAGGGGUCUCUGGAUACUGAUGGGCUAGAGGGAAGCAGAGGAAAGCGGAAUUCCCGGUGUAGCGGUGAUAUGCGUAGAUAUCGGGAGGAACACCAGUGGCGAAGGCGGCUUUCUGGGCUUUCCCUGACGCUGAGGCGCGAAAGCGUGGGGAGCGAACCGGAUUAGAUACCCGGGUAGUCCACGCCGUAAACGUUGGGUACUAGGUGUGGGGGGUAAUGACCCCCUCCGUGCCGCAGUUAACGCAAUAAGUACCCCGCCUGGGGAGUACGGCCGCAAGGCUA